AAUACAUGACGCUGUUGACUUUUUCUCACAUGUUUGACCAUUCGUCUUAUUUAAAAAAUUUACGUAAUUAUAAUUUAUUUUUGUUAUGAGUUGUUUUAUCACUCAUAGUACUUUAAGUGUGAUUUAUAUCUUAUACAUUUGCAUAAAAUUUUUAAAUAAGACGAAUGGUCAAACAUGUGAGAAAAAAUCAACGGCGUCAUCUAUU
rnacentral:pre_miRNA from 1 species